rnacentral:lncRNA from 1 species
UGCCAUGUUUGUCUUCUGUAAUGUAUGAUGUUUAUUGCAUGUAUCUCUCUCUCUCUCUUUCAUCCUCUCUGUCCUGUCUACCUCUUCUUCUCCUCCUUCACCUGGCGACUAUCAGCAGGAAGGUUUUCCCUUGUGAGUCGGGACCUGCUCAAGGUUUCUGCAACCAGUGUCUACCAAAAUAUCUUCGAAGCAUUACAGUCUCUCUCCCUCCAGAUCAACAUGCUGAAUGGCAUCCAGCCCUCUGACAAACCCAGUGUCUACUGUCAACAUCUGCCUAUGUCGUUCAUCUAUGUAGUGCAAGUAUAAUUAACUUGAACAACAUAUCAGCUAAAAUACAUAUAAAUACAAUGUAUAGAUUCUCAGCAUUUCUAUUAUAACAACCUGUCAUGUUUGUUCUUUGUCAUGUAUGAGGUUUAUUGUAUGUAUGUUCCCCUCUCUUUUUCAUCCUCUCUGUCCUGUCUACCUCCUCUUUUCCUCCUCUAAAAUUGCAUUUAAUUGAAUUGAAUUUAUAAACACAAUGGCAACAAAUUUAUAGAAAAAUGAGCAAUAGAUAGAAUUACAAAAACAACACUGAGCCACAAGAAAGAAGUAGAACACAUAUUCACAUAAUUAUACACAGCAAGUCUGACACACACACAAGUACACAAAAGCUGCUACAAAAGCAGUGUUUGAACUGUGAACAAUCUCUCAUUUCCCACAUAAGCCCUCUGGGUCACAGUACCACACAAUAUAAGUGCAGGUGUAUGUCUCCAUGGCAACAGAAACCCAAGCAAGUGUUCCUGUGGAUGGAAAGCUGAGACUACCUCUAGAAUCCAAUCACCUUAUCAUUCUAUUAUGACCUGUUAAGGGUUGUCACUGUGUGUAUUUCUGUUCCAUAAGUGGCACAAAAGUGUUAUUAGUUAGCUGAUACACUUUAUCUUCCACACUUACUGUAUCUCGGUAAUUUGAUUAAAUCACCCAGACUCCACUUUCUCUGAUUAUAAAAUAAAUAUGCGGCCUGACUUCCUUGUCUGUCA